rnacentral:rRNA from 1 species
UGGGGAAUAUUGGUCAAUGGGCGCAAGCCUGAACCAGCCAUCCCGCGUGCAGGAAGACGGCCCUAUGGGUUGUAAACUGCUUUUCCAGGGGGAGAAUUUUUCUGUCGUGACAGGAAUUGACGGUACCCUGGGAAUAAGCAUCGGCUAACUCCGUGCCAGCAGCCGCGGUAAUACGGAGGAUGCGAGCGUUAUCCGGAUUUAUUGGGUUUAAAGGGUGCGUAGGCGGAUUGAUAAGUCAGUGGUAAAAACCUGCAGCUUAACUGUAGACUUGCCGUUGAUACUGUCAGUCUUGAGUGUGGUCAAGGUAGGCGGAAUGUGUAAUGUAGCGGUGAAAUGCUUAGAUAUCACACAGAACACCAAUUGCGUAGGCAGCUUACUGAGCCGACACUGACGCUGAGGCACGAAAGCGUGGGGAUCGAACAG